UCCAAGAGUGCUGUCUUAUUGCUGGU
rnacentral:sRNA from 1 species